AUUGAACGCUGGCGGCAGGCCUAACACAUGCAAGUCGAGCGGAGCGGCGGACGGGUGAGUAAUGCCUAGGAAUCUGCCUUGUAGUGUGGGAUAACGUACGGAAACGGGCGCUAAUACCGCAUACUAUCAGAUGACCCUAGGACGGAUUAGCGAGUUGGUGGGGUAAAGGCGUAACAAGGCGACGAUCCGUAACGGGUCUGCGAGGAUGAUCAGUCAAACUGGAAUUGAGACACGGUCCAGACUCCUACGGGAGGCAGCAGUGGGGAAUAUUGGACAAUGGGCGAAAGCCUGAUCCAGCCAUGCCGCGUGUGUGAAGAAGGUCUUCGGAUUGUAAAGCACUUUAAGUUGGGAGGCGUUACCAACAGAAUAAGCACCGGCUAACUUCGUGCCAGCAGCCGCGGUAAUUC
rnacentral:rRNA from 1 species